CAGUUCAUUACUGUUGUUCCAUCUUAUAAUAGUUGUUUGUAACAUCACUAAGUCCCAGAGCUUGAGGAACUAAUGAACUACAUAUCAACAUGGAUACCUAGCUUCUAGCCGGUGUUUAUACACAGCCUGUGUACGAUAGCGAAGCUCGUAGUUUUUAUUUUUUUUUUUUUUCAUGAGUUGACAGUAAAUAUAAACAGAUGGAACCGAUUCCCCGACAUCUUUGUAAUCCAUUAUACUAUUUAGUCUUAGAAUAAGUCCAGUAGGAAUACUCUGUUUCAGGAAGACUCAUCUGUAUAUACCCUUUAGGAAUGAAUGUUGUGGGACUCACUACAGUUAGAGUUUCUUGCUCAAUCAGACCAAGUGAAGGUUUUUAUUUUCACUACAAACUCAACAAAUACUUCAUUUAAGUGUUUUCUUGUGAGCGUCAGUUGAAGUGUAGGGUUAGAAAGUUGAGUGUGUGCAGAACAGUUGCUGCUGAUGAGGGCCUAAAGAAAGCUGCAGUUUUGCAGGUGGAACAUCAUUGGCCAUCGCGCGAGUUAAUGAAGCGUGAAAUGGAAGAGGACACACUGGAUGGAUCAUGCUUGCCGCAUUUCCUCUUGUUUACACAGAUGUAGCAUGAAGGAAUCAUGUGUUUGAGAAUGUGAAUGUUCAGGAUGACAGCUGUCUCUCCGCUGCUCGUCGGGGCAGAAAGAAUGUCUCAAAUGUUUAAAGGAAAAUAGCCACACACCUCCGAUCCGCCGAAACUUUCAUGUCGAGCAAGGUUGUGUUACCACUUAAAGACCUAGUAUGGUGCAAAAUCUUUUCUAAACCACUGAAUAUAGCUCAGUGCUAACAAAUACUCAUCUUAAUGUGGAUCAACAACUCUCUAACUCCUCUGUUGUCGAAAUUCAUGUUUACAAAUUAUUGCGAAGAAAGAUUCUAAAGUCAUGGCGGUACGAUUGUACACAAAUUAAUUAACAUAUUGUGUGAGUUUUCCCAUAGUCUAAAAUCUUAUUAAUGUAAAUGUAAUCCUGAUGUCUGUGUUGUUUCAAGAGUAGUGGAGGUCUUUGCUGUUCUUGUCCACCCUGGGCAAGUGAGUUCUCUUCUUACAGACAGCAGCCAACCAUCUUCAUCUCUUCGGCCUUUCUGACUGUCAUCUGUUUGAUUAAUGGGAAAUUAAAGACUGUCCUGGAAGUUGUAUAGAUGACUGAUGUUUCUUUUAUUGAAGACCUGAUCUUUGUGAUGAUCUGACUGCUAGGUUUUAUUAGCAAGAAAUGAGCCAACAGCUGAAGACAGAUCCGACCUCUUGUUUCUGUAUUAGCAGCCCUACAACACAGCCUCAUGUUGUCCUUCCUUCUCCGCUGCACCCUUGUAAGACCUUCGUCCUUUAAUGUUUAUUUAGACUGUAGUCUACAUUAUUAUCGUAAACCAAAGAAGUUAUCAAGUAAACAUUUUUAGAACUGGAAAGAGCUGUGUGGAUUUACAGAAACGAACCUCAUAGUACCUUCCAUGUAAGUAUACUAAGAUAAAUAUUUUUCCCUACCUUCAAGAUUCGCGUGUGUCAUUUUUACUGAAAUGUAUCCAGCUUUGGAGAUCAUAAGAAAGAUAAACGAAAAAAAAAGUUGAAGGAACUGGCUCUUGCCUGGGGGACUCUACAUGCAAGUCAAAGAUUGGAAGUGAAGAAGAGGAUGCAAAAUGUCAAACAAAUCAUCACAGGCGUGGCAUUUCACUAGACGCACCAUCAUCUACUCCAAGCACCACCAAGCAUCCUCCAGGACACCUCAAGAGAUGCUGUUGUAGAUCAAUGGACGAGAAAAACAAAUUCAUCUGUAUCCAUUGUAAUAAGUUUUAUGUGCAAAACAUAGCAAAUGGUAGUUUAACCAACGCCUACAGUAAAAAUCUCUCGAUAUAUAACUCUCACAUGUACAGUGUUGUGCAAUAUUAUUUGGAGUUUAUAAUACAUUAUAAUGUUAACUGGAAAAAAGAUUAGAACAAAGUGUUUUUAUUCUGAUAAAGUAGUAAAGUUUUUUUUACAAUAGAGUCCAACCGACCCCAAGGUGACUUGUUCAUGGUACUAGAGCAGGCUGAAGCUAGUGAGUGCUUGCUUUUUGGUUUAGUCUGAGUUAUUCUGUAAUUUUGUUGACAUUUUAUUGCUAAAUUACAGUUUGUGUUAGUAUCGUGUUAAUUCCUUAUUUUCUCACAGUGCUUUUCUCCACUGUGAUUCUUUUAAUUAGACAUAAGAAGUAAUGACUUGUCCUCAUUAGCAGCCUUUCAGAUAAGAGCUUUUUUGUGGUGAGCCGUCGGUGCAAACAAAGAAGUUCUCCCUAAUGACAAGAGAUGACAUGUGGGGCCAACUUCUGGAUUUGAAGAAAGGUAUGGCUUGGUUUCCCACGUCAACAUGACAGACCAGCUCGCUUGAAAAACUGUCAUUAAGUGCAGGUCGUCUUCCGAGGGUCCUGUAAAUUCGUCUAACGAGCGCUGGUCUUGUUUGCUCACACAGAGCUUCCUUACCUUCUGGUCCACAAACCUCUCACCUGUCGCCACCUCAGGCCUCGUGGGGCAGAGACCAAUUUUGGAAAAGUGUGGCCAUGUUUUGAUACCUGGACAACUACAAGUAGGUGAAGAUUACCUGUAUCGGUGAAAGAACAAACUAUCUGUUUAAAUGGCUUCUCAUGAAAGUGUCUUACUCUUGUGGAGUUUGUUUAUUCUGAGUCUUAGACUACAGACGGCGUCUACUUUUGGCGAUCCAGGUACCGCAAGACAAUGGUCACCAUUGGUGACGAGAGGUGGACGCCAGGGGGCUGCUGGGAGAGUACCACGUGACUACCCGCCACCCCCACAGGUCGCCAUCACACAAUGAGACACGUGACUUGCUUAUGUCGCUGGUUUCCUUAUUGGUAUCUGUGUUGUGACAGAAAAAUUGUCAUCAAUCACUUUGAAUUGCUGCCGCAUUACAACGAAGUGUUUCCUAGACUGAGAAUAGCAGACAACCAAGUUGCUUUCCAUCCAUCCUCUUCAGCCUCGUCUGAUCCGCCAGACCUUCCCACCUACCGCCAGGCUCUUGGCUUUGUCAGUCUGCGGAAUCAAUGGCAGACAAGGAAUGGAGGAAAGGCUAAUGGCAGAGAGCUGAGUGGCACUAAGACUGGUGUCACACUCUACCUGCCAGUGUCGAGGGCCAAACCCUGGUCGCAGCAGCAGGGUGGCCUCCCUUUGUCACCGUCAAUCGAUUCACAUCGCAACUUACUGCGACCUCUGGUGGCAGAUACAGCAGCAAGCGACUCCGGCAGCAGGGAGAUGUGGCUCUAUCCAACACCUAGUUACACCCUGUCAGAUACAACUAGUUACACUAGCGACAUCGUACCACAGUGGACACCCAGUAAUGCUAGCACCACAAAGCUGAUCUCAGUUGCGGCCCCUACUAACGCUGAUAUCAUCCUCUCAGAUACAACACCUAACAACAUCCUGUCGGAUACAACACCAAGUACCGCUAACGAUAAAGAAACUUUAUCAGAUACAAAGCCUAGCAACGCCCGAGGUAAGAAAACCUCAUGGUCUACACAAACAAUCACUGGCUCCCAUGAAACCUUGUAUGACAGAACACAUAGCAACACUCUCGCCAUGGGGAGCCCCUCUGACAACACUCAGAUUAGUACUAGAAACAUAGAACUGUCGACACCUAGCAAAACAAUGUUGUCAGAGACAACAACUAGAAGCCUUACCUUGUCUCAGACAGUCCCUUUGACCUCUGUCGCCGAGGAAAUCCGACCUCAUCUAGCUCCAGGUAACACUAGAAACACAGGACUGGCAACAGGUACGAUGCCUAGCAACCAAGACACUCUGUCACGUGGCUCACCUGGAAACACUAGCAACAUGGAAAUCCUGUCUGAUGUCCUCCAUCUGACUUCGGGUACUGCACUAUGCCAUCCAAGGAAGGAAGGAAUAACUGCAGAUGUCGGGAAAACAAAAGAGGCUUCAAGUCCAGGACCGAACACACAGAGCUCCAGCAGAGUUCAAAGUCUCGAUAUAACAGAAAUUCCCUUAGUUCACGAAAGCCUGAAAAUGGUAUCAAACAGAAGUAAAGCAGGUACCGGACUCCUAAAGGCGGCUACACCUAGCACACUGGGACAGCACCAGCUUCCUGAUUCUGCAGUUUUCUCUGGAUUCCAAGAAAAAAAUAAUAUUUUAUUAGAACUAAAAUCGUCUUUUCUUGCAAGAAAUUCUGUGACCUACGAAGACAUAAUAUUACAGGAAAUAUCAACAGCAUUUAUCGCAAAUAAAUUCCUUGAGUCUGUAAACAUUCAGCCUUCUCCACUCAGCAUAUCUUUCCAGACCCCUGCACCGGCUAUGAAAAGCAAGACAGUUACUUUUGACAGACUUAACCCUCUCAGUGACCUUUCUCCUACAAGCGACCUCUUGACCUCCUUCGUGAUAAAUCCCAGUUUUGCAUUUGCAACUAUGCCUACCAUACCUGCAACACCUGCCUUUGACACUGGGCGGACCAAGGAUGUGUAUCAUCAUCACAGGAACUUAGAAGACAUGCAAUAUAAUUCUGGAGGUGAUGACAGUUUGAGUUAUCUGUUGGGUGAACACAGUUUAAAUGUUGGUCCGCUGACAUCUUCAAGGUUGGAGGACUCUCUACCUCAGCCAUCCAGACGCUUCUAUCAUUUCCCUCACAUCAUCUUCAAUUCUCGAAGAGCAGAAAGAGAGUAGUCUUUUACCUACCCCAUCAUUUCUACUGGAAAAUCAGCUUUCUUCUUUAUCUAUAUUGACAAAACUAGUUGGAGACUUAGAUCCGAUAUUUAUUGUGUCGAAACAAACAAAACUCCCAAACUCCAUGGAAUACCCACAAGAAUCUGAGGAACUCGCUUCUUCAAACAUCGUUUCACCGAAUUUAAGUGGUCGUCGUGAGAUGUUUGUUUUUUCCUCUAGUUUAUCACAAGCUCCGGCAACUUCUGCGACUACACUACUAUACAAACCUGCUCCUCCUCCAGGUAGCGAACCUUUGCGAGAAAAUUCCCAACUGAAAGUUUCCUUGGUAACCUCAGGGAUAUAUGUGACAGAUGAUUCUGAUGCCUCUUCUUCAGUUCUCCCAGUGCUGACAGUCUACAGCAAGAAGUGAGCAGUGCUUACCCUUCACCUUCUGGUACUGUAAGGUUAGACCAUGGCUGGCCCGCAGACCAUACGGGUAAGAACACCUCCACAGGUACCCCUCUGGUCCCCUCACCUGGUGUAACGGUGUCUCAGUGGAUUACAGGUACAACCGAUACCUUGGGUGCUGCUAAGGGAGGUGACUGCGGUGUGUCAUCUACCAGCUUUGCCGGCGCAGACGACCACGUAGACUUGAAGUGAAGAGCGCGAGGAGGUCAGAACGACCCGCCAGCGAGGCCGGCCAGCCUAAGUGAAAGACAGCACGUGACACACGAGGGCUCCACGUCACCUGCAGUGUCCUCUACCUCCCACCCAGGUGUAGACAAAAGUCUACCUGCAAGACAAAGUCACACCCUCAAGGUUGGAGCUGCCAUCGGGGUAGGACUAAUGUGUCUGAGUCUGGUUGUCAUGGUAAUUGUGCAUCGCAGCAGACGACGAGAACGGGGAAGAGAUGGUUUACUUCGAGAUGGAAGGCUCUUGUUACAGAGAGAUGACAACAUAAGACACUGCCUACUCAGGGCCCCGAGAUGGUACCCGGGGUAUAGCAGAGGGCUGCACAAGGCGACUGGCAGGGAAGAACUACAAGAAACUGAUCAAAUGGGAAUUUCAACUGUCUGUCACAAAAAGUAGGCAGGUGUAAAGGUGUAAAAAUGAUUGAUAAAAAUCUUUAGUAACACUCUAAUAGCUAUAUCACACUGAAAUGUUUAUCAACAGCCAUGACAUAUAUUCCAUAAUUUCUUCACAUGGUGCAUGACAUGCAUCAUUAGUACGUGUGGCAAAAGAUUUUAUUUACUUUUUUAUAUGGCCUUCCUCACUGUCACCCACUUCAACAGACAGGCCAUUUUAAAAUAGAAAAUAGAGAACAUCUAUUCGUGGAGAGCCGAGAUUGAAUUCUCGAAAGGAAAGAAGAUAAAGGAAACUAUUAAACUCGUAGAGUGUCAUUACCAGCCUCCAUCGCCCGCUCUCCCCACAGACUUAGAAGAGAGAGUGACUGUGUUUAUACCUCUCAUGACGAUCUCUUGCCGACAAAAGAGGAAGAUAACCUGAAGUUACCCAUAUAACCAGCGAAGUGCCUGGGUUCCUCCUUUGCUGCCUCACUUUAUCACAGCAGGAUCGCUGAUAUUGCAUCCAUUGUAUUCAUUUACUUCUUCAGGAAGAACAUCCUGUCCUGAAAGGUUUUAGAAAUGAAAUGAUGGCCGCCCUCGUCAUCGUCCCGCCCACAGGAGGCUAAACGGGGAAACAAGAAUUUUCUCUUCUUUGUACAAGUGCUUGUAGUCGACAGUUUGCGUUUCUUUGAUUUCACUUUUUAAUAACAGAAUUAGUUUUGAACAAAAAAAACUUUUUGAUAAGAUCGCUUUGAAGAAGUUAUUGUGAUUUGAAGGAGAAAUUGCCUGUAGGAGCAUUUGCAAAACUAAUGAGUGUAA